CUGAAGAGAAGGCACACCCAGCUCAACCCUUUCUUCCGCUGACCCUAGUGUGCGGGGCCUCCUUCCCACGGCCUUGGAGGGGCGAGAACAAGAGUGGGCAGUGUUAGUGGUGCCCCGCACUCCCUGCUGUCGCUGCUGGAGUGGCUCUGCUGUGGAGUUUUCCGGAUGUGUGCACAUUACAGUAGAUUAAAUGCAGAAGCAGGUAUGUGAAUCCUCUGUGAAGCCAGACAUUCAAGAUAUUUGCAAAAAUGUAAAAUCAUGCCAUGUUUCUCACUAAACAUCUUUUCUGUUU
rnacentral:lncRNA from 13 species